rnacentral:lncRNA from 1 species
CCCAUUAGCACUUUCUUCCUGGUGCCAGGCAGACAGGCACACUUGAGCUGAAGGAUUCAGAUGAGUCAAAAAUGCAGAAGCUUUAUUUCAGUGGUUGGGGGACUAUCAGAGGGUUGGUUCAAAAAUUCUCACAUUCUAUUUUCAUUUCUUGAACUUGGAUUGGAGGUUUCGUUCCAGUGGCUAACCUGUCCUUUUCACUAAUGUUUGGAUAACUGCUCCCAAGGUGGAUUUAGAAAUCCCCACACCGGCAGCUGGUGACUUCCAUGUCAGUUUGUUGCUGUCAUCACAUGGAGAACCAGUCUGAAUGGAAGAGCAGCUGCUCAGCAUGAUUCGAAUCCUUUCCCCAAUUGCAUGGACAGCUGUCACAUAGAAGAAGCUUGCCUGUCCAGAAUCACAUCUCCAGAUAAUCUGAGUGAUGGAACUGGAGGGGAUCGGGCCCUUAAGGAGAGAGCCGAUCCGGUCCUGAGAGAACGGACCUUGGCGGAGCCAAUAGGAAAAUAUGAGCCGCAAUACAACCUGAAGCCGAAAUGAAGAAGGUCCGCCAAAGUUGAAGGAAAAUUCCGCCAAGGAGUCUUUAUUGAGCGAUUCAGCUGAAAAGGACUCUAGUAGUGAUCAUUCAGUCUACUAGGGUACCACAUAAUCAAAAUAAAGCCAUAUUUAUACAAAGUUUCAGUCUGACAGCCCUUUGAAUUUCCCGCCCCACUCCCCCGCCCAUCUGAUCGCUGGUUGGCUAGGAGGUUGAACGAGGCGGGCUUUCGUUUCCCGCCUUGCUCUGUUGGCCCAAUAGGGAGCUGCUUUUUGUCCCCACUCGAGCCAAUCAGGGAGGAGAAGGCGGGAGUUAUUGAAACAAUGAAGUGACUGAGCAGGAAAGAUCGGAUCAAUUCCUGCCCGGCCGAUUUCUAAAGGGAUUAAUGACAGCAAUCAAGGGUUCCUGUCACGUAUACAGAUUUCAGAUAUGCCUUGGGGUGUCAGAGGUGGAAGUAGAGAUGGGUGGUGAUGGGCCAUAAUUGACAGGCUCUGCAGGGCGCCUUCCUGAGGUGUCCUGGAUUUUCUUUUGGAGGAGAUAUGACAAUGUUUGCCUUGGGGGCGAAUCACCUUUAGGUCAAUACUCCGAAUUCGGCGACUCAAGCCCUAUAUUGUCCAUGCAAUCUGAAUUUGAUUGGGUUAAGCGGUGGCGGAUUAUCCUUUUGUUUUUGGGAAGGGAAGCCUGGGUCAUAGGAUCUGGGGUUCAGGUUGAGUUCAAAAUAUUUCCUAUUUGAUUUCAUGAUUUGACAAUUAUAUGAAAUAAAAUGAAAAAUAAAAUAAAGUUGGAAUAUAAACCCUGCUGGGAAAAAUACAUAUUUUCCGGGGAUCCCAAAGAGUACAAAUACAUAUAGGCAGAUAGAUAGAUUUCAAGGAAAUAAGGGAGAAUCCAUAAAGGUGAGUUACAUUGCAUAAAGGGGAAUCAUGAAUGAUAUAAACAAUUGAAAACAUUUGAUAAGAACGAAGUUCACAACAUCUGGGGAACCCAAUAUGGAAAUUCAUAAAAGUGGAGUUUUAGCAGCAUGAUUUCACAAUUCAUGAAGUUAGCCCAACGAUUAGA